rnacentral:sRNA from 1 species
AUGUCCAAUUCUCAAGCAGCAUUGCGAAAGAAGGAUAGGAGAUUUCUGGCGCAACAUUUCUCACAUUCCAAACAUCAAAAUUUGUGCAAGAAGACAGCCAGUGUAAGUCUUCUUUUCUUGCAAAACUAUCCUAUCAAAUAUAUAAUUACUAAUACAUAUAUGGAUUUGUGCAAAUACACGCAAUUAACUUAACUUCUAUAUAUUUAUCCCCAAAAAAACAAUUAAUUAAUUAAUAAUACCUACCACGUCCCUUGAUAAAUUUUCCAAAUAUCACAAACACACUACCGCCAUGUGAUCCUUGUUGCUCUAAUCUCUCAGUGGUAUGGCUUCUAUUAUAUUUUAUUUUUCUUCUUCAUUUUUUCUCAGUGGUACGAAGACGACUCCUCCAUUCGCACCUUCACCACAGCGGGUGGAGGCUCCGGCUCGGCUCGGCUCGCCACGGUUAAGGAAGUUGAAGAUCAAGACGGAGAAUCUGAGCUCCUCCCUCCGCCACGGUUAAGAUCGAGAAUUCGGAUGGCACGAAGGACGGUGGGGCCUAGGGGACCGGUCCGGCGGGUCCCACAGCUCCGGCCGGGAGCUCGGUGUUAAAGAAGACGCCACGAAGAUCUUCACUGAGAACAUUCAGACCAGUGGAGCUUAUAGCGCCAGAGAAGAAAGUUUGAAGACAGAGGUAAGUCUCUCUCUCUCUCUGUCUGUGUCAAAUUUUGAAUCUUUGUUUGGAAAAUUAAAGUUUAGAAGUGAUUGAUUCAAUGAAUUGAGAAUAUAAAUGGACAGUACAGGGCAGUUGACGACAUGCACAGAAGAAGACAGAGACAUGAUGAUGAGACUGGGUAGUAAGAGCAGGGUGUUGAAGAAGACAAUGAAUGAGGAGGUUAGAUUCCCUUUUAAAUUGCUCAAUCAUUGCCUUUAAAUCUAUGUUUAUAUUGCUACUUUAUGCCUCUUAUUUCUACUUACCUUUAAUAUUUCUAUCUUGGAUUAAUUGCUUGAAUUCCAUUGUGUGUUUAGAUUAGUGAUUAUACUAGAUAAAACCAUUUUAACUUUUUUAUUGAUUGAUUGAUUUCAAUAAAUUUUUUUUUUUAGCUACAAGUAGAGUUUUUUCAAAUGAUGAUGGCAAGAGCAAAGAGAGAUAUAAUGCCUCUGUUUAUGAAAAUCUCUCCAAGUUUUUUCCUAAUAUAAGAUGUUCUUCUUGUAAUAUCUUUUUGUUCUUGAUUUCAAUUCCAUGUUUUUAUUGGCUUGCUUGUUAUUUGAGCUAUAUAUUAUUUGUUAUUUUUUCUUUGAUUUAUUACUAAUUCAUGUUAUUAAUCUUAACCAUCGUGAUAAAAAUAUGUUUUUGCAUUUGCCAUUUUGGUGAAAUAAAAAAAAUUAAACCCAAAAUACGUUCCUACUAUUCCAUGUCAAUGUCAAUAUUGUCUCCCUUAUUCAGGUGAUUCAAGUUGAACCUGUUUCACUUUUCUCCUUGCUAUUCUUUACUUUUAUCUCAAACAAACUUAAGUGUCUUUAAAUGAUCAUCAUUGUUCAGUCUAGGAUGCUGGCUGGGGGACAUCCAUCAAGUAAUUAUUCUGCCCAGGUCAAUUCUGUUCUCACUGACUUUAUUCUUUUUGAAGUGUUUCCCUGCAUUAAUUCUUCUUGAUCAAAUCUGCAAAUUUUAAAGAGAAUCAAUCUUUCUUGAAUUAGCUUCAACAAAUUCUUGUAGGUUAGAAAAUUUUAUGAAAGAUUCAUAGCAAUGUACGUUUCCUUUGUUACCUGAGAUGUGGAGUGUUGCUUGAUUGUGGAGUCACCAUUUUAUCUUGAAGGAGCUAGUGGACUGUUUGAAUUUAUUGUGAAAAGACAAAGAAAAUGGGUACAUGGUUAUAGCAAUUGUUGAAGCUAAGAAACUUCUUGAAAUAAUGCAUACAAAAGACUAGCAGGACAUGAGUAUGCAGAUAUCUCAGGGGAUUUAGGUAUGGAUGCUAGGAUGUAAGUCUUGCUUUGGUGUUAACUGUGUUGUUUGCCAUGCCUGGAAAUUGUGAACAUCUCAGUUUUAAAAUAUAGUAAAGAAAGAAGAGGAUUAUAUGUGUAGUGACUAAUUCUAACUUUAAGGACUGCCUAUUAUUUCCUUCAUUUUGCUUUCUGACAUGGUGCUAGAGACGUUAAUGUAAUUUCAACUGCUUGAGUUGCCCCUUUUCAGUUUAGCAAAUGGUAGAUGUAGCACUAGAACAUGACAGUUCCUUCAUUUAGGAACUGCUAGCCUCUAUAAAAGAUGCAAACUUAAGAACCAUUGAUUUGGUUAUAGGUAAAUCAUGUGGCACUUUACAUGUGUGUGUGUGUGUGUGUGUGUUCUUUUUUUUUUUUUUUUUUUUUUUUUUUUUUUUUUCAGUGAAACCUUUGAGGUCCCUAACACUUGUUUUAGUUGUGUAGCAUAUCGAAUUAUUUUUUGCUUUCAUGAUUUGAUAAAUAAUGAUUUUGGUGCAUUAUGACAAACUUGGUCAGAGCAGGGGUUACGCAAUGAUAUAAAAGUUAUUUUUUGGGUGCUAAGAUUAAUUAAAAAAAAAUUAAUGGAAAAUCUAAUCUUGGGCUAAAAAUAAUAUAACAGCACAACAUUGAAUAGCAGAUUGAGUUAUUUUAUUCUUUCUUGAUUUGAUAAAUAAUGAUUUUGGUGCAUUGGGGAGAACAUGGUCAGAGCAGAGAUUAUGCUAUGAUAUAGAAGUUGUUUUUGGGUGCUAAGAUUUAAAAAAAGAAAAAGAAAAAGGUUAAUGGAAAAUCCCCACGCACAUUAUCCUGAGUUGAAUAUAAUAUAAAAGCAAGGUGUUGAGAGUAGUUUGUAAAAAAUUAGUAUAUAAUUUAUUGUAAUAUGAUUUAUUUAGCAAGUUGGUUUGGUGGGGUGCCUAUAAGGAAAGGUGUUCAACAUGAAGAAAAGGGGGAACCACCUGUAACUUGAGCAAUUAAUUUUGUAUUGGUCUUUGUGGAGUUUCUUUAUUUUGGAUAUUUUGAAUAAUGUGACAUAAAUCUUAUGCUUUUCUUUUAGGCAUGCAUGUGGAUUGAUGAUGAUCAAGACAAUGAAUCCCGGUAAGACAUCAAUGACAAAGAUUUUGAGGUUGAGGUAUACAAGACUGAGGCCAGUAGUGAUGAAGAAGAUGGGACUAAGCAUGAGGACUUAUCAAAAAAGAAGAUUGGACUAA